rnacentral:rRNA from 1 species
GACAUUUGGUAGAGACUGUUGAAGCCACCUGGUCCCAGCAGACCCCAGAAGGCGGCCACAUUAGCUGGUACUGGUGUUAAGGAUGAAGCCUGGUGCCAGAUGUGU